rnacentral:rRNA from 1 species
GGAUCUUACUGUCUCCCCGCUCCAAUCAGUGAAACUGAUCUUCCCGUGAAGAAGCGGGAAUAUACCUAUAAGACGAGAAGACCCCAUGGAGCUUUAAAUCCAACAGCACCUAUUACCCAUACAUCUUUAUAUUUUUUUAGCAAAUGCUCGUUCGGUUUUAGGUUGGGGUGACCAUGGAGUAAAAAAUAACCUCCACGAAAAAAGGCAUAAAACCCUUAUCAAAGAGCCACAUCUCUAUGAAUUAGUAAACUAAUUUCUGAUGAUCCGAUAUUCGAUCAACGAACCAAGUUACCCUGGGGAUAACAGCGCAAUCCGCCUUAAGAGCCCCUAUCGACAGGCGGGUUUACGACCUCGAUGUUGGAUCAGGGUAUCCCAGUGGUGCAACAGCUACUAAAGGUUCGUUUGUUCAACGAUUAAAACCCU